UCUCUUACAGUAGAUCGAUAGUCACCUCGGAUUCCGAGAUUGUUCAAGAAUUCAUAUAGCCUUUAAGAAUUCUAUUGCAUUAUAUUGUUCAUAUAUAUAUAUAUAUAUAUAUAUAUAUAUAUAUAUAUAUAUAUAUUAGAACUCUGUGGGCUUUCUGAACUCUGUGGGCUUUCUAUUAGCAUUAUCACCAUAUACAUAUCUACACGCUUUCUGCUUUUAGGUGGCACCUUUUCUUUUAAUUAGACUAGCUUUUAUGUGGCAUUCAAAGUUGUUGCAGAUGAUUAUGUAACUUCUGACAGUGGAAGUGGAAUCGUUCAUUGUGC
rnacentral:lncRNA from 1 species